CCUACGGGAGGCAGCAGUCGAGAAUCAUUCACAAUGGGGGAAACCCUGAUGCUGCGACGCCGCGUGGGGGAAUGAAGGUCUUCGGAUUGUAAACCCCUGUCAUGUGGGAGCAAAUUAAAAAGAUAGUACCACAAGAGGAAGAGACGGCUAACCCUGUGCCAGCAGCCGCGGUAAUACAGAGGUCUCAAGCGUUGUUCGGAAUCACUGGGCGUAAGGCGUGCGUAGGCUGUUUCGUAAGUCGUGUGUGAAAGGCGCGGGCUCAACCCGCGGACGGCACAUGAUACUGCGAGACUAGAGUAAUGGAGGGGGAACCGGAAUUCUCGGUGUAGCAGUGAAAUGCGUAGAUAUCGAGAGGAACACUCGUGGCGAAGGCGGGUUCCUGGACAUUAACUGACGCUGAGGCACGAAGGCCAGGGGAGCGAAAGGGAUUAGAUACCCGUGUAGUC
rnacentral:rRNA from 1 species